GGUUAAGCGACUAAGCGUACACGGUGGAUGCCCUGGCAGUCAGAGGCGAUGAAGGACGUGCUAAUCUGCGAAAAGCGCCGGCGAGGUGAUAUGAACCCUUGACCCGGCGAUGUCCGAAUGGGGAAACCCAGUGUGUUCCGACACACUAUCGUUAACUGAAUACAUAGGUUAACGAGGCGAACCGGGGGAACUGAAACAUCUAAGUACCCCGAGGAAAAGAAAUCAACCGAGAUUCCCCCAGUAGCGGCGAGCGAACGGGGAGCAGCCCGGAGUCUGAAUCAGCUUGUGUGUUAGUGGAACGGUCUGGAAAGUCCGACGGUACAGGGUGAUAGUCCCGUACACGAAAAUGCACAUGCUGUGAACUCGAAGAGUAGGGCGGGACACGUGGUAUCCUGUCUGAAUAUGGGGGGACCAUCCUCCAAGGCUAAAUACUCCUGACUGACCGAUAGUGAACCAGUACCGUGAGGGAAAGGCGAAAAGAACCCCGGCGAGGGGAGUGAAAAAGAACCUGAAACCGUGUACGUACAAGCAGUGGGAGCACCUUCGGGUGUGACUGCGUACCUUUUGUAUAAUGGGUCAGCGACUUAUAUUCUGUAGCAAGGUUAACCGUAUAGGGGAGCCGAAGGGAAACCGAGUCUUAACUGGGCGUUAAGUUGCAGGGUAUAGACCCGAAACCCGGUGAUCUAGCCAUGGGCAGGUUGAAGGUUGGGUAACACUAACUGGAGGACCGAACCGACUAAUGUUGAAAAAUUAGCGGAUGACCUGUGGCUGGGGGUGAAAGGCCAAUCAAACCGGGAGAUAGCUGGUUCUCCCCGAAAGCUAUUUAGGUAGCGCCUCGUGAACUCAUCUUCGGGGGUAGAGCACUGUUUCGGCUAGGGGGCCAUCCCGGCUUACCAACCCGAUGCAAACUACGAAUACCGAAGAAUGUUAUCACGGGAGACACACGGCGGGUGCUAACGUCCGUCGUGAAGAGGGAAACAACCCAGACCGCCAGCUAAGGUCCCAAAGUCAUGGUUAAGUGGGAAACGAUGUGGGAAGGCACAGACAGCCAGGAUGUUGGCUUAGAAGCAGCCAUCAUUUAAAGAAAGCGUAAUAGCUCACUGGUCGAGUCGGCCUGCGCGGAAGAUGUAACGGGGCUAAACCAUGCACCGAAGCUGCGGCAGCGACGCUUAUGCGUUGUUGGGUAGGGGAGCGUUCUGUAAGCCGUUGAAGGUGUGCUGUGAGGCAUGCUGGAGGUAUCAGAAGUGCGAAUGCUGACAUAAGUAACGAUAAAGCGGGUGAAAAGCCCGCUCGCCGGAAGACCAAGGGUUCCUGUCCAACGUUAAUCGGGGCAGGGUGAGUCGACCCCUAAGGCGAGGCCGAAAGGCGUAGUCGAUGGGAAACAGGUUAAUAUUCCUGUACUUGGUGUUACUGCGAAGGGGGGACGGAGAAGGCUAUGUCAGCCGGGCGACGGUUGUCCCGGUUUAAGCAUGUAGGCGGAGGUUCCAGGUAAAUCCGGUACCUUAUUAACGCUGAGGUGUGAUGACGAGGCACUACGGUGCUGAAGUGAUAAAUGCCCUGCUUCCAGGAAAAGCCUCUAAGCAUCAGGUAACACGAAAUCGUACCCCAAACCGACACAGGUGGUCAGGUAGAGAAUACCAAGGCGCUUGAGAGAACUCGGGUGAAGGAACUAGGCAAAAUGGUGCCGUAACUUCGGGAGAAGGCACGCUGAUAUGUAGGUGAAGCCCCUGCGGGCGGAGCUGAAAUCAGUCGAAGAUACCAGCUGGCUGCAACUGUUUAUUAAAAACACAGCACUGUGCAAACACGAAAGUGGACGUAUACGGUGUGACGCCUGCCCGGUGCCGGAAGGUUAAUUGAUGGGGUUAGCGGCAACGCGAAGCUCUUGAUCGAAGCCCCGGUAAACGGCGGCCGUAACUAUAACGGUCCUAAGGUAGCGAAAUUCCUUGUCGGGUAAGUUCCGACCUGCACGAAUGGCGUAAUGAUGGCCAGGCUGUCUCCACCCGAGACUCAGUGAAAUUGAACUCGCUGUGAAGAUGCAGUGUACCCGCGGCAAGACGGAAAGACCCCGUGAACCUUUACUAUAGCUUGACACUGAACACUGGUCCUUGAUGUGUAGGAUAGGUGGGAGGCUUUGAAGCGUGGACGCCAGUCUGCGUGGAGCCAUCCUUGAAAUACCACCCUUUAAUGGCUGGUGUUCUAACGUAGACCCGUGAUCCGGGUUGCGGACAGUGUCUGGUGGGUAGUUUGACUGGGGCGGUCUCCUCCCAAAGAGUAACGGAGGAGCACGAAGGUUGGCUAAUCCUGGUCGGACAUCAGGAGGUUAGUGCAAUGGCAUAAGCCAGCUUGACUGCGAGCGUGACGGCGCGAGCAGGUGCGAAAGCAGGUCAUAGUGAUCCGGUGGUUCUGAAUGGAAGGGCCAUCGCUCAACGGAUAAAAGGUACUCCGGGGAUAACAGGCUGAUACCGCCCAAGAGUUCAUAUCGACGGCGGUGUUUGGCACCUCGAUGUCGGCUCAUCACAUCCUGGGGCUGAAGUAGGUCCCAAGGGUAUGGCUGUUCGCCAUUUAAAGUGGUACGCGAGCUGGGUUUAGAACGUCGUGAGACAGUUCGGUCCCUAUCUGCCGUGGGCGCUGGAGAAUUGAGGGGGGCUGCUCCUAGUACGAGAGGACCGGAGUGGACGCAUCACUGGUGUUCGGGUUGUCAUGCCAAUGGCACUGCCCGGUAGCUAAAUGCGGAAGAGAUAAGUGCUGAAAGCAUCUAAGCACGAAACUUGCCCCGAGAUGAGUUCUCCCUGAGACCUUGAGUCUCCUGAAGGAACGUUGAAGACGACGACGUUGAUAGGUCGGGUGUGUAAGCGCAGCGAUGCGUUGAGCUAACCGAUACUAAUGAACCGUGAGGCUUAACCUU
rnacentral:rRNA from 1 species